UCGUUUUCUUCCAGACUUUAAGAAGAAUCAUCAAGAAUUAUAUCUCAAACCUAAAUUCCUUACGACAUGAUUUGCCCUUAAGAAUAGGAUUAUUACCAUCCCUGGUCCUACCCUUCGACAUUCUCUCAAUUUUAUGAGCUACCUAUGUCUUCCCAAUAAAUUCUCUUUUUGCUUAACUUAAUAGAAAUGUUUUUCUAAUGUCAGCAAAGUGUUCUAACUGACACAACCAUUAACUAGAUGUGUGGCUAUGAUCUUGGAAGACAAUUUCACCUCCCUGAGCCCUAGUUCCUUCAUUUGAAAAUAAUCCCAGUAGGUUUUAGAGUCUAACAUGAGAUAGCAUCUACAAAGAGAAAGGCACAUAGUAGGUGCUCAACAAAUGCUGGUUGGCUUCUGUUUCUCCUCUGAAAUAUAAAUGUUCUGUUUUCAGAAAAAUUGAGAGAGAUACUAUAUGUAAGGUAGUGCCUAGCACAUAGCAGUGCUCAAUAACUGGUAGCUAUGGAAAUGACGUGAUUAUAAUUUUCUGGCAUGGGAAGUAUUCAGUCUGGGCUGGAAAAUCAUUGGCCAGGGAUAUACAGAGGUUAUUCAACCAUGGGAUGGGUGUUUGGACAUGAUGACCUCAUUUUUUUCCUACACUAAGAGUCUGUGAUUCUAUAUUAGAGAGAUUUAGCAUUGUCUUUAAGGAUGUGCAGCUCCUUUAAAGCAAAAUGGCAGAGACAAUAGGCUUGGUAUGAGGACUGAACAUGGUUGGGAAGAUCUCUGGGGCUGAUGCCCAAGCCAACACUGAGGAGGGGUCACUAACCAACCUGCCCGGAGAGAGCUCUGAUGAUCACCCAGGUUAGUGUCCAUAAAGACUAACUCACUCAGUGCUUCCACCAUGGUUUUGUCUUAAUUAGGAACAGAGACUCAUUCAAGUUGUUCCAGAAAUAAUGGACUUUAUUGAAAGGACACGUAGACGUGGGAACUCUGGAAGAGCCAAGGAACCCAGCCUCAAGAAAGGCAGAAAUUAAGGCAACUCUGUGAUAAGCUCUUUUCACAUUUCCAAUUCUCCCCCUCACAGCAAAGUCUCUCUCUUUAUAUUGCUUCCUUUAUCCUCUUCCUUGCCAGCUGGCUAUUUCUGGUUAUCUGUCCAUAAAUGGCCAUUCAGUCCCCAAAUCUGCAUGAUCUUCCGGGUCCAGCCACCGUAACUAACGAACCUCUGGGUGUCUUUACCUAAAUCCUGAGAGACAGAUUUGACUGGCUUAGCUGUUGAGCCAGGCUAUGUCACAGGCUACCGAUGCGCCAUCCCUGAGACCUGUGUCCUCACCAGGUACAAUCAGCUGAGUCUGGGGAGACAAGCUCACCUCCUCUGCUACCCACUCAGCAGGAGAUGUGGACUGGUCAGGAGACAUUAGCAAUAUUUGUCUUUAAGGAGAAUCUCCAAGGCUUAUAUCCUCAACCCAAAUUCCUUAGAUGUGGUUUGCCCUUGAAGCAAAUUUCCCGUGACAACAUGGAAAUCUCCCUUCUGUGUAAACAUGUCAGGACAGCAGCUGGAUAAGACAAGUGUAGACUGGUUGCUGUCCAAUCUGCCAACUUUCGGAUAAAAGACCGGGAUCUGAUAAGUGACAGAUUACCCUGAGAACAUUUGCGGCGGGAUCGUUUCUGCUUCAUCAUUUCAGUGCCAAACGUACAUGCACUGCACACCUAUCAUGUACCAGGAGCAGAGUGUGGUGAUUCAGAGUGUAAUCCUGGAGGCAAAACAACUUGGGAUGGAAUCCAUUCCCACUACAUGUUAGCUCUGUGACCUUGGAGUUAUUGAAGAUGAAAAGAGAUGGCAAGAGGAAAAUCUAGUGCCCAGAAUACAGGAAGCGCUCAGUAAAUGGUGUCUGGGCUCCGUGAGAAGUUCUAAGCCCUUCCCCAGGAUGGAGGCUUCACCUCUCCGUGGAGAUUCCCAGUCACCCCUCUUUGCCAGAUCACUGAUCUUCAAAUUGCACUCCUCAGACCCCUGCAGGUUCAGCCAAGUUCUCCUGUCUUGAGCUCUUCCUGCUGAAAGUCUUCACAUAAAAAUGAACACAUAUGUCUGCUGCCUGCAGGGGCAGAGAUGUGCCUUAGCCGUGUUUGUCUGCCCAGCACUAGAGCCUUGCCUUUAUUCAGCAUCCACACAUCUGAUGAUUGGGGGAAAUAAGAUGAAAAUGGAAGGGGUGGUGGUGGCCAUGAAGAUGAGCUGCUUAGUUCUCCUGCCGUGAGAGAAUGAUUGUUUGACAGCUCCAACUGCUGCCCCUCUGGAUCACUGGUCACAUACGUGCUACAGACGUGUUUCCCGUGGACUAUUCCUGACCAAUGACUAAGCAUGAUGGAGUUCCUGAGCACGGCGGGACAGGGACUCCUCAACUGGGAGAUGUUGGCUCAAGCUCUCUCCAUCAGCCUGGCUGAAGUCUUCUGAGAACUGGCCUACAGCCUGAGCCUCUUCCUACUUACUCCUCCUUCACAGGGGUCAGACAUGCAACAUGGUCUGAAGGCUCUCCCCUCCUUCGCUGGCUCCUUCUUUUUUUCCUUCACAGGCAUUGCCCUCAAUCAGUCCCUUCCACAUCUAAUCCUGUCUGGGUGUCUGUUUCCUGGAGGACUUCAACUAACACAAGACCUCUAGCCUGCUCUCCUUGAAAGUCCGCCCCACCCACUCCCAGCUAUUUCCAGGCAGUGGCUCACAUGUGUUCAUGGACAAGGGCUACACAACACCCAGUCUCUUCAUCCACUCCUGCUCUAUCCUUGGCUUCCUGGAGAGACGCCUGCACCACAGUCUGUGAUGUUCCCACAGCCUCAUGACGUCCCCUACUACUGCUGCCACCUCUUCUCCUAUUUGUGGUUCCCUGGAAACCCACUUCCUGCUGAUGCCACCAGAACUGGGUGCUGAUCUGAGGCCAUGCCCACUGCAGACAGAUGCAUGCAGGCCCAUCUGCUCUGAAGGGUCCCUUACUGUCACUCAUUACAAGGGUCUCCAUGCAGUGCUGACAGGUGCUCCCAUUGUCACAUUCACCUCUCGUGAGAAGAGGUCACUCCAUCUUUACCCACAGUCUCCUUCCCUAUGAACUUAGACUCAGCCCUCAGCUCAAGGACCAGUUCAGUGACAGAUGAGCUAUAUAUAAAAAUGUGCCUCCUUUCUGGUGCUGGAAGAGGCUGACUUUCUUAUUUCUUCAGAUGAAUGUUUUCCUACAAGACUCCUUACUCCUUAGUCCUUCAUUCAGGAAGUCUUCUUAUGAAUCCCCCAAAAUGACUAAAUUCCAGAGUGAUUAAAGCAUAGGCCCAAACUGGGCCCAUCAUAUUCUGUAGUUAGGGUUUUGUGGAUUCAUUUGUUUGUAUAUUUGUUACUUAUGUAUGCGUGUGUGUGUGUGUGUGUGUGUGUGUGGUAUGUAACAGAACUUGUAUAAUCCUUGCUUCUAUCUCUCCUGCCUCAUGACAUCUCCUCAUCUGUCACUUUGACCGAUAACACUGUGUCUGUCUCUCACUAUCUCCGUUACCCUCUCUGCUGCUUCAGCUGUCCACGUUCACCUCCUGAUGCUCUCCUAUUAUUACCAAUAUUUUUACUUGACUAUUCUUUGUCACUGCAUAUUUCAAAGCUUUUUUGGACACUUCUAGGGUUAGGGUUAUAAUAAAAUGUAAAGAGUUACAGAUAUCUGGGUACAUUAAAGUAGGGUUUACAAUGCUUUGUUUGUAGAUGGUACCCAAAUUAGGGAAACAGGAAACUAAAUUAAUCUAAGAUUUACCCAGGGAAGGGUGCUAGAAGUUACUCUGAGUAGGCUUGGCAGAUUUCCAGAACAAAUAAUGGACACAUUUCAUGACACUUUUUGACUGAUAAGUGUACACAUACCAAAAAGAGACACAGGUGUUGCAGCAGACGCGGUCAGUUCUCCACCAGACCCCCUAGGACCCCUGUUUCUGUGUGCCCUUUCCCUGGCUUUGGUGAGCUUUACCUCUCACAGCUUGCAACUCUGACUUUUCUUUGGAAUAUUUCCCUCAAGUUACUGGAACACUUUACUUGCGUAUGCAGAGGGACAGAAGUACCUGGGAUUUAUGCCUCCCCAGGCAACACUUAUCUAGUGAUUAACAGGUUUGGGAGUAUGAAAGCCCAGCUCCCUUGCCUCCAGUUGGGACAAAUAUGAAGCAUAAUUUUAAAAUCAGAGCUUCUCUGAUCAUAUUGCAGCAUCAUUCCUCCAAGAAACUUUGCCAGUCAUCACACCCUUGUUCGGCUUCUUCCACUUCCCAUGCUCUUACUGGCCUCCCCUGGGAGCACUUCCUAAAUAAAUGACUUGGUCAUGAAUCUUCAUCUCAGAGUCUGCUUCUGGAGAACCCAACUGUACUAGGUUGAACAAUGUCCUGAAAAAAUUCAUGUCCACCUGGGACCUGUCAAUGUGACCUUAUUUGCAGAUAUAAUCAAAUUAAGAUGAGGUCAUACUGAAUUAGGGUGGGCCCUAAAUCCAAUAUGACUGGUAGCCUUAUAAGAAAAGGAAAAUUUGGACACAGAAACACACACAGGAGAGAAGGCCACAUGAAGAUGGAGGCAGAAAUUGGAGUGAAGCAUCUACAAACCAAGGAAUGCCAUGGAUUGCUGGCUACCACCAGAAGCUAGGAGAGAGGCAUGGAACAGAUCGUCCCUCAGAGCCUCCAGAAGGAAUUGAUCCUGCUAGCACCUUGACUUUGGACUUCUAGCCUCUGGAACUGUGAGAGAAUACAUUUCUGUUAUAAGCCACCCAAUUUGUGGCAUUUUGUUACAGCAGCCCUAAGAAGCUAAUACACCAACCUAGGGCACAAAUAUAAGAUAUAGGAAGUAUAUAUGUUAUAAUCUGUAUUAUAUCUUAUAUUUUACAUGAGAUCAUGAGGCUUUUAUCAAUAUUUAUUUUUCAAAAAUUCAUUUAAUGGAAUCUCUCUCUUAUAUCAAUAGCUAACAUUAUACUUAAUGAGAGAAGCCUAGAAGAAACCCAAUUAAAAAUCAGGAGGAAGACAAGGAUGUCCAUUAUCACCAUUAUUAUUUAACAUUGUCCUGAAUAGUAGAUUUUCUGGCUAAUGCAAUAACAUAAGAAAAAGAAAUGUGGUAUAAAUAUGAGCAAGAUGAGAUAAAUUAAUCACUACUAGCAGAUAUUGACUAUUUGAACACCCCAGGAAAUGAACUGAAAAAUGUUAAGAGAGUUCAUAAAUAAAAGACAACAAAAUCAUACUUAUUUGGAUAAAUUUUAAAAGACUUGCAUAAAUAGAGAUGUAUACCAUGUUUCUGCAUUAAAAACUUAAUAUGGAAAAUUGUAAAUUCUCAAAUUAAUGUAUAAAUUUAAU
rnacentral:lncRNA from 1 species